GCCUGACAUCCUUCAUGGACUUUCCAUUGCAUUUAGGAUCAAGUCCAGAAUGUGUAACGCGUGCACAAGGCUUUACAGGAGGUAGGCCGUACUGUGUCCAGCUCCUGCUUUCCACCUGCCGCCCUUCCUCCCUUCGAUCUGUGCCUUUCAGCCACCCUGACCUCACCUUCCUCAAGCCUCUUACAGGCCCCGUUUGGUUCUUUGUCCAGAGGGGGACCAGCCUGAAUUUCACUUCCUCAGUAGGGAGUGCUGUGCCGACUUGGAAGGUGGCAUGUGGGAGGUUGCUGAGAAGAAAAGAACAUCCACACUUGCUGACUUUCCGGUCACAUCAGAUUCCUCGUUUUUCAUUCCAGAUCGUUAAACUCCGUGUUGUCACUGUGCACACGUGUCAAUGCUGUGCUGUGGGGACGGACUCUGCAGAGUGUCCUGACGCUCACCCAGGGUGCAGGAAGGCCCUCUUUUGUAUCACAGCGCACCGGAGUGGCUCCAGCAGUUUUCCUGAACUUACUAUAUUUCUGCUCGUGGUUUUCCUCGUAACCUUUCCUCAUUGGGCAAUAACAGCCAACACGUUCUCCGCAGAGGGGUCAUCAAGUAUGAAAAAUUGCUCUGGUAUGUGGCUGGAACCACAGACCAAAAAUGUGGGCGGUUUUAACAUGCCUCACAAUAUCUCUGGAUUUUGGAAUUUUGAUAAAAAAGCACAAAAUUAGCAAAUAUGUCUAGACUUAGGAGAUACUAAAUUGGAAGCAAACAGUAUUACAGUUUAUCUCUUUAAAAGCCGAGCUGGGAAUUUUGCUUCUGUCUGCGAGGGGGUAGCGUGUAUCAAAGAAAUCCUCCUGCAGGAAGUAUAUGUAAAAUCUGGAUGGAAAACAAAAACAAAACAAAGCAAAGCAGCUGUGUGAAUUCUUCAGAGAACAAUCACAGCAGCCUGGGUUUGUGGAGACCAGACCUAAGAGAAGAGGAAUUUCCAUCAAGGUGGGCUCUGCAUUGGCCUCCGAUGUACCCCCACCCGUUCAUCUGCUGAUUCUUGGUGAUGGGGAUGAAGGCAAAAGAGGGAGUCAUGGUCUAGCAUUGUGUCGAUCUUGUGAUGGGGAGAAUGCGUCCAGAGUUCAGGGAGACUGAGGCAGCCAGAGCUGGAGAGGAAGUUAUCCUAGAGGGAGCGCCCUGAAGAGAGGUGAGCCUCAAGUCCUGUGUGUGGGUUUGCCCAGAGUAUGUGUUGCCUCCCCAGCCACAUGGGUUUGGUGUGCAGCACCCAGAAGGCAGAGAGCUCUCCCAUCUCUCAGUACUGCGGAAGCCUUGGUAGAGGUCCCUUUCACACACACAGAAAUGUGGGGCUCAGGAAGACACCCCAACUAAGAACCUUAAAGGGCUGCUAACCUUAGCAGUAAGAGAGACGCCAUGGAAAUGCACGGAGCAUAUUCAGACGCGUAGGAAGAAUACAACUAGCACAGGGCUACAGAGCCUGAACGCCAGACUACACCACAGAGACAGGAUUAUGUCAUACUCUAGUGACUUGUAAGAAUUAUGCUAAAUUCUUUUUGCAGAGGGAGAUCAUACGGCUCACUAGCACUAUAUUGUUUGUUUAAUCUCCAAAGUCAAAUUGAAAAUGGAAAUAUGUCACAGAAGAAAGUAGAACAAAAUGGCUGAAAAAGAAGAAAAGACAAAAAAAGAAAAUUAGAAGAAAAAAGUCAGAGACAAUAGUAAAACAACUAUAAGAAGUCUGAUCAUCAUAAUUAUCAGGCACAAAAUUCCAAAAUAACUACAAUGAAUGUGUUGAAAACUAGAGGGAAAAAAUGGAGAAUUUAUCCAGAGAACUAGAACCUAUUGAAAUAAUACAAACUCUAGAAAAAGAUAGAGUAACUGAAAUUAAGAAUGUAAGAAAAAUUACAAUAGCAGUUAGGUACCAUAAAACCAAGGAUUAGUGAACAAGAAGGUGGCUCAGCAAGAAAUUCCCAGACUGAAGCCCAAAGAAUAUAAAUAAUGAAAAAGAAAAGAUUUUAAGGGCUAGAUACAACAUAGUGAAAAGUUUGGAAGUUUUUGUAAUUAGUGUUAGAAGGAGAGCAACAGAGAGUUAAAAGAAACAGUACUCAGUGAAAAUAAAAAGCCAUUAUUUUUACAAAGUUUAAAAAAAAAAGAAUUAUCAAGCCCCUAUUUCAAAUAGCUUUGAAAAUAUCUCAAAUGAAUAAAAGAACACACACACACACACACACACGUGCACACAGG
ensembl:lincRNA